CUAAGGGGUGCUAUGUCGAAAGACAGGCUGAGAUUAUACCCAUUGACCUGAUCUGGAUAAUGCCAGCGCAGGGAUUUGACUUA
rnacentral:ncRNA from 1 species